UAGCCGUAAACGAUACUCGCUAGGUGUCGGCCACGGUGCGACCGUUGUCGGUGCCGUAGGGAAGCCGUGAAGCGAGCCACCUGGGAAGUACGGCCGCAAGGCUGAACUUAAAGGAAUUGGCGGGGGAGCACAACAACGGGUGGAGCUUGCGGUUUAAUUGGAUUCAACGCCGGAAAUCUUACCGGGACCGACAGCAACAUGAAGGCCAAGCUGAAGACUUUGCCGGAUUAGCUGAGAGGAGGUGCAUGGCGUAGUCGUGU
rnacentral:rRNA from 1 species